rnacentral:rRNA from 1 species
CCUACGGGAGGCAGCAGUGGGGGAUAUUGCACAAUGGGGGAAACCCUGAUGCAGCGACGCCGCGUGGGCGAAGAAGUAUUUCGGUAUGUAAAGCCCUAUCAGCAGGGAAGAAGAAAUGACGGUACCUGAGUAAGAAGCACCGGCUAAAUACGUGCCAGCAGCCGCGGUAAUACGUAUGGUGCAAGCGUUAUCCGGAUUUACUGGGUGGAAAGGGAGCGCAGGCGGCACGGCAAGCCUGAUGUGAAAGCCCGCGGCCCAACCGCGGGACUGCAUUGGGAACUACCGGGCUGGAGUGCCGGAGAGGGAGGCGGAAUUCCUAGUGUAGCGGUGAAAUGCGUAGAUAUUAGGAGGAACACCAGUGGCGAAGGCGGCCUACUGGACGGUGACUGACGCUGAGGCUCGAAAGCGUGGGGAGCAAACAGGAUUAGAUACCCCAGUAGUC